UUGACAGGUGAUUGACCUGGAAGUAGAAUGGCAAGGUCAGCAUGCAUCCACCAUGGAUUUUAUGGCAUCCACACACCAGCAAGCAGGAUUUGUUUGUGCAAGCCCAACAUGAUGCAUCCCUGUAUUUCCAGCCAAGCAGGCAAAACAAGAAACGGCAUCUCCUCGCAGAACCUCUGUCAGUGGCAGUAAAUCUGCCGAGCUGCCCGGCGAGAUUAAAAAUGAAAAAAGGGGGGAAAAAACAGCAGCUUGGACACACUGUGCACCCUCAGCAUUAAAUCCAGCCAGAGGCGCACUCCUCCUCCGCCUCUACAAAACUCCAGCUGGACUCCUCAAAGCGACGUCCCAUGAGAGGCCCUCAUUUACGGAACUUUAGGAUGUGGCAGCAAAAUUGAGCGAAUCCUUUGGUACAUUGCUUUAACCUGAAGGACCUUUUAUUUUUGUUAAGAGAGCCAUUUAAGAGAAAAAAACCCUUAUGCUGAAAGAAUGAAAUCUAUGAGAAAUGGCUUACUUUGCCAACCACACAGGGGGUUGGUGCCCAGUUUUUGUAUUCCUGCAGGUUUGGAAGUAAGCUUGGAACAUCUAGAGCAAAAACAAAAUGUAGCGCCACUGCUUUACACUUGUGCGCUCAUUAAGGGAAAUCGGUGGCCAUGUGCGGAAUGCAAAUGAUGUCGCCAUCUUGCAGGCACCUGAAGAUGGCUGCUUUCUCACCCUCAGCCCUGCGUGACCAGUAGGGCUCAUGGGAAAUGUAAAACGGACCUUCCGUUCGAAGACCCCCCGCUGUACGGCUCAGGUACGCCGUGUUCUCAUUCUUUUAGCGUGCAGGGGCCUAAGCAGCGGGGUGCCUGACAAGCGAGGUAGCACCGCGUCCGGCGGAGGAACGCUAACCUGAAUCUGUGUUGUGAACGAAAGGGCUGCAGCAAUUAACAGCGUUAUCUCCGGCAGACAAAGCAGCACCUGGUACUUCAAUUGCGGCCACUGUGCACUUGCCGGGUUGUGGUGGCGCAAGCUCUUACUCAAAUGUUGCAGUAAAGGGAACUUCAGAGUCAUCCGGAAGCUGGCUGAACAGCCCUUUUGUCACCAAAGAAAAACGUGGGAUUUAAAGAAGUCCCUGCAAAUCAAGUUAACUCCAUCAGCGGUACAGAAAUAGAAGAAAAUUUGGUUUUGUUUGAUUUGGAAUAACAAAUUAGUUAUUUGUCAAUUUAUGUAGAAGAUGGCUUUAUUCAGCAUAACAUACAAAUCUAACAGAUUACAGAUCAUACGUUUAUGUAGUUAAAUAUCUUCUUAAGCAAGUUAGGUCAAGUACCUUUUGCACUGGAAAUGUAGAAAUGACAUCUAAACCUGCUCAAACUUGUUGCAUGUCUAAUCUAACUACCAUUGGGUCUAUAUUCCUGUCCCUUCAAGUGAGAAUUUUCAAACCAGAGUUUUUUUUUUCCCCCUUUCAUUACCUGCACAUUUAUUUAGUUAAUUUCAGCCAUGCUCAUGCCCUGAAUCAGUCCAAUGGAUCAGAAGAUUGAUGCCCUACAGAGGAGCAAUUGUGUCCAUGCCAAAAUCAAUACUGCCAAUCAUAUACUUUUCAUAUGAUAAAUAGCUGUCCCAGACCAUAGCAUAGCGAGGCGUGCGGUAAAUACCACCGCCAUCGAUUUUAAAAAGAAUAAGAUCGAAGGGUGGAGAAAAGCAUUAGGCGCAAAUUCCUUCAUCAGUAUUCUAACGGUCGCACUGCCACUGUGUACUUUUGGCCCCUUUCAGACUGUCUGCCCCCCCCCCCCCAUCCCUACAAUCAUUCCCCUCAAAUGCUGAAGAUUUGCAGCCGAAGCCUGAUACAGAGCUUUGCAAUCCCACACAUGCUAUGAAAUGCGUAAAAUAAGUGUGCCUCGCUAUCUCUCAACAGAAAUUCUGUCUAUCACACUUCCAUCCAGGGCUUUUU